rnacentral:rRNA from 1 species
AGCCGAGCGGUAGAGAUUCUUCGGAAUCUUGAGAGCGGCGUACGGGUGCGGAACACGUGUGCAACCUACCUUUAUCAGGGGGAUAGCCUUUCGAAAGGAAGAUUAAUACCCCAUAAUAUAUUGAAUGGCAUCAUUUAAUAUUGAAAACUCCGGUGGAUAGAGAUGGGCACGCGCAAGAUUAGAUAGUUGGUAGGGUAACGGCCUACCAAGUCAAUGAUCUUUAGGGGGCCUGAGAGGGUGAUCCCCCACACUGGUACUGAGACACGGACCAGACUCCUACGGGAGGCAGCAGUGAGGAAUAUUGGACAAUGGGUGAGAGCCUGAUCCAGCCAUCCCGCGUGAAGGACGACGGCCCUAUGGGUUGUAAACUUCUUUUGUAUAGGGAUAAACCUACUCUCGUGAGAGUAGCUGAAGGUACUAUACGAAUAAGCACCGGCUAACUCCGUGCCAGCAGCCGCGGUAAUACGGAGGGUGCAAGCGUUAUCCGGAUUUAUUGGGUUAAAAGGGUCCGUAGGCGGAUCUGUAAGUCAGUGGUGAAAUCUCAUAGCUUAACUAUGAAACUGCCAUUGAUACUGCAGGUCUUGNAGUAAAGUAGAAGUGGCUGGAAUAAGUAGUGUAGCGGUGAAAUGCAUAGAUAUUACUUAGAACACCAAUUGCGAAGGCAGGUCACUAUGUUUUAACUGACGCUGAUGGACGAAAGCGUGGGGAGCGAACAGGAUUAGAUACCCUGGUAGUCCACGCCGUAAACGAUGCUAACUCGUUUUUGGGUUUUCGGAUUCAGAGACUAAGCGAAAGUGAUAAGUUAGCCACCUGGGGAGUACGUUCGCAAGAAUGAAACUCAAAGGAAUUGACGGGGGCCCGCACAAGCGGUGGAUUAUGUGGUUUAAUUCGAUGAUACGCGAGGAACCUUACCAAGGCUUAAAUGGGAAUUGACAGGUUUAGAAAUAGACUUUUCUUCGGACAAUUUUCAAGGUGCUGCAUGGUUGUCGUCAGCUCGUGCCGUGAGGUGUUAGGUUAAGUCCUGCAACGAGCGCAACCCCUGUCACUAGUUGCCAUCAUUCAGUUGGGGACUCUAGUGAGACUGCCUACGCAAGUAGAGAGGAAGGUGGGGAUGACGUCAAAUCAUCACGGCCCUUACGCCUUGGGCCACACACGUAAUACAAUGGCCAGUACAGAGGGCAGCUACCAGGCGACUGGAUGCGAAUCUCGAAAGCUGGUCUCAGUUCGGAUUGGAGUCUGCAACUCGACUCUAUGAAGCUGAAUCG